rnacentral:rRNA from 1 species
CCUACGGGCGGCAGCAGUAGGGAAUCUUCCGCAAUGGACGAAAGUCUGACGGAGCAACGCCGCGCGAGCGAUGAAGGCCUUCGGGUCGUAAAGCUCUGUUGUUAGGGAAGAACAAGUAUCGGAGUAACUGCCGGUACCUUGACGGUACCUAACCAGAAAGCCACGGCUAACUACGUGCCAGCAGCCGCGGUAAUACGUAGGUGGCAAGCGUUGUCCGGAAUUAUUGGGCGUAAAGCGCGCGCAGGCGGUCCUUGAAGUAUGAUGUGAAAGUCAACGGGUCAACCGUGCAGGAUCAGUGGAAACUGGGGGAGUUGAGUACAGAAGAGGAAAGCGAAAUUCCACGUGUAGCUGUGAAAUGCGUAGAGAUGUGGAGGAACACAAGUGGCGAAGGAGGAUUUCUGGUCUGUAACUGACGCUGAGGCGCGAAAGCGUGGUGAGCAAACAGGAUUAGAUACCCCAGUAGUC